ensembl:antisense Rbm46os RNA binding motif protein 46, opposite strand
ACUAAACAAAAGUUACAAAGUGAACUUGCAGUGCUUUCCUUAAGGGAGAUGUAGUUACAAUUCCAGCGCACUGGCCCACACUCUCUCUCUCUCUUGGUGGUGUGAGACUUUCUACAACAGAAUGUCUAAAUGCCAUGAACGUCCCAUCACUGAACCAGGAGCCAUUAUCAAGAGGACUCUACGGGAAGCCUCCUUCCAAUGAAUAUUUGGAAUGAUGUUUUCAUUUAUUAGGUUGAAGCAGUUGGUGUGCUUUAGAAAAUGAUUAUAGAGCAUUGGGUCUGGCAGCUCUGUAGAAAAACAUGGAAGCAGCUGAAAGUGUUCCUCCCUCUGCUUGUAUGCUUCUGGAAGCCAUCAGAGGCCAUCCGUCAAACCAACCUGGCCUGUCUUCUGUGCUGUCACACAGGGCUGGAGCAUGUGGGCAGAAUUAAUGUGCCAGAGAUUCAGCUACUGGAAAAGAGAAGAUUAGACUUAUUUUCUGAGAACUUUGUUGAGAAUCUCCCUGGGAUUGGAGAGAUGGCUCAGCAGUUCAAAGCAUUGACUGCUCUUCCAGAGGAUGUGAGUUCAAUCCCUAGCACCCACAUGAGAUUCACAACUGUCUGUGACUCUAGUUCCAAGGGUUUCUAUGCCCUCAUCAUCCUCCAGGCAUUCACAUGGUACAUAAACAUACAUGAAGGAAAACCACCCAUACACAUAAAUAAUAAAAGUGUUCACCUGUCCUCAUCACAAACGGCACACCCUGACAGGUUCUGACUUACCC